rnacentral:rRNA from 1 species
GUGUAAGCCGCCGCGGUAAUACAGAGGGGGCAAGCGUUGUUCGGAAUUACUGGGCGUAAAGGGCGCGUAGGCGGCCGCUUAAGUCAGACGUGAAAUCCCUCGGCUCAACCGGGGAACUGCGUCUGAUACUGAGCGGCUUGAAUCCGGGAGAGGAAUGCGGAAUUCCAGGUGUAGCGGUGAAAUGCGUAGAUAUCUGGAGGAACACCGGUGGCGAAGGCGGCAUUCUGGACCGGCAUUGACGCUGAGGCGCGAAAGCCAGGGGAGCAAACGGGAUUAGAAACCCUAGUAGUCC